CAAAUGUUUACUAUUCAAAAGUUGGCCUGGCCAACCCGCGGCUCUUCAGGAGCUUUCACAUGACAUGCGUCAAAAAUGCUUGGCUGGUGCUUGUCAUUCACUCCCCCGACAGCUAGAUGGCACACUGACCAUGUAAGCCUGUUUGAGUGACGUCAAACGAGCGACGAGAGAAUCUUUGUGUUGUAAACAAUUUCCGUCAAGUUACCUCUUGAAAUGGCAGGGAAAAAAAAAAAAAAAUCACAGCCAAACGAAAAUAUGAAGAAGAACACAGGACGUUUUUGCUAGAGUGGGAGAGUUUAUAUUUUCUUUGUUGAACGUAAAGGCAAGCCGAUCUGCCUUAUAUGUCACGCAGCAUUAGCGCAUUUCAAAGCUUCAAAUCUUCAGCGCCACUUCAACUCACUCCACCCUAACAUCGAACAGGAAUUUCCAAAAGGGACUGAACUUCGAAAGAACGAGUUGGUCGCUUUGAAAAGCCAGGCAGAAGAGCAGGUGCAGUUUUUCCAAAAAUUUACGAAACACUCCGAGACCGUAACGCUUGCAUCAUAUCAGGUAGCUUGGAACAUACAACGAAAAUGCCUCAUUGACGCCUUUGAAAUCUUGGCUCCUGGAGGCGACAAACUAAAACGGAGCAUAUCAGACGUUCAACUGUCCCGCCACGGUGUUGAACGCAGAAUAUCGGAUAUUAAUACAUCUGUUAAAUCACAGUUGCACUAGGACCUUCAAGCAUGCUAGUUGGUGGAGUUCGAUUCGUACCCUUUCCAAAACCGAAGACCCAGUACGAAAAAUGCCUUCGAUGGAUCAAACUUUUUGGAAGACCGCAUCAUCAACUAAAUCCAUCUAAUAUCAACCGGAACACAUGUUUGCACGAAGCGCACGUGACGUGACGUCACUUCAGGAGGCGUGGUUAAAUGCCCUGUACGGAGGGGUCAAUUGAGACAACGUCAUGAAGCCUGCGAUGGAAAUCGUCAACUACAUCCGCACACAUGCGCUUAACCACAGGCAAUUCAGG